rnacentral:rRNA from 1 species
AGAACGAACGCUGGCGGCAUGCCUAAUACAUGCAAGUCGAACGAACUCUUCGGAGUUAGUGGCGCACGGGUGCGUAACGCGUGGGAAUCUGCCCUUGGGUUCGGAAUAACAGUUGGAAACGACUGCUAAUACCGGAUGAUGACGAAAGUCCAAAGAUUUAUCGCCCAGGGAUGAGCCCGCGUAGGAUUAGCUAGUUGGUGAGGUAAAGGCUCACCAAGGCGACGAUCCUUAGCUGGUCUGAGAGGAUGAUCAGCCACACUGGGACUGAGACACGGCCCAGACUCCUACGGGAGGCAGCAGUAGGGAAUAUUGGACAAUGGGCAAAGCCUGAUCCAGCAAUGCCGCGUGAGUGAUGAAGCCUUAGGUUGUAAAGCUCUUUUACCCGAGAUGAUAAUGACAGUAUCGGGAGAAUAAGCCCCGGAUAAACCUCCGUGCCUAGCGUAGACCCGAC